GACGAACGCUGGCGGCGUGCUUAACACAUGCAAGUCGAACGGAAAGGCCCUGCUUUUGUGGGGUGCUCGAGUGGCGAACGGGUGAGUAACACGUGAGUAACCUGCCCUUGACUUUGGGAUAACUUCAGGAAACUGGGGCUAAUACCGGAUAGGAGCUCCUGCUGCAUGGUGGGGGUUGGAAAGUUUCGGCGGUUGUGGAUGGACUCGAGGCUUAUCAGCUUGUUGGUGGGGUAGUGGCUUACCAAGGCUUUGACGGGUAGCCGGCCUGAGAGGGUGACCGGCCACAUGGGGACUGAGAUACGGACCAGAAUCCUACGGGAGGCAGUAGUGGGGAAUAUUGCACAAUGGGCGGAAGCCUGAUGCAGCAACGCCGCGUGCGGGAUGACGGCCUUCGGGUUGUAAACCGCUUUCGCCUGUGACGAAGCGUGAGUGACGGUAAUGGGUAAAGAAGCACCGGCUAACUACGUG
rnacentral:rRNA from 1 species